GGGUUAAAUCCUCGGAAAUGUGUAGUAAAUAAAUUCUCUUAUCAAUUUAUAUUUAUUUAUAUAUAUUUUUUACGAAUUUCAUAUUUUAAUUGGGCCUCCUAAAUUGAAUUUCUUGUGUCGUCACUGCCCACAAUCUUCUUUUUCUCGUUUAUUUACUAUUCAAUCCAGACCUGCAACAAACUGUCUAUGACAUCUAUGCAGCUGAAACAAUCUUGAUUAGUUUAAGGUUUGAUUUAAUUUUAGAUGCUUGUGCAAAUGCAUAUCCUUCUAUGCAUGCAUACUAUCAUGUUAAUAUUUGGUGUCAUAAUCUUACCAGAGGCUUUGGUUGAAUCUCACCUUAUGCAGUUAAUUGUUAAGUAUGGAGAAUUUGCCCUCAUUUUGUAGGUAGCUUUUGGAACAAAAAAAAACCCCAGUUAUGUUGAUAUGCUGAUCAUUUUUUUUAGAUUUCUAGGUUAGCAUGUUGAGUAAUAUGUGAUUAAAGUGACAUCUGGUAUGCUUGCAUGGUCAUAUUGUGUUUUCAAUUUGAUGUGAUUUCUAAUUUAAAACUUGCUGGUAGAACAUUCAGCAUAGUUUAGAAAUUGUCAAGGAGCUUGAGAAUUAUGAUUCAUUUAGCAGCCAUAGCUUGAUAAAUAUGCAUAUAUUUAAAUAUAUAUACAGGUACAGGUAUUUAUCAUAAAGAAAAAUUCACAUCGUCUGUUAUGCUUAGGGCGUAAGUUAUCUAGGAAUUUU
rnacentral:misc_RNA from 1 species